AAUUUAAGAGGGCAAACUUAUCGAAAGAUAAGGACGCAAAGCCAAGGGCCUAAAUUGAAAAAAAUAUGGCAGCCGGUUGCAUAG
rnacentral:ncRNA from 1 species